rnacentral:rRNA from 1 species
AUACGGAGGGUGCAAGCGUUAAUCGGAAUUACUGGGCGUAAAGAGUACGUAGGUGGUUCGUUAAGUCAGAUGUGAAAGCCCAGGGCUCAACCUUGGAACUGCAUUUGAAACUGGCGAACUAGAGUAUGGUAGAGGGGGGUAGAAUUCAUAGUGUAGCGGUGAAAUGCGUAGAUAUUAUGAGGAAUACCAGUGGCGAAGGCGGCCCCCUGGACCAAUACUGACACUGAGGUACGAAAGCGUGGGGAGCGAACAGGAUUAGAAACCCUAGUAGUCC